CCUCUAUCAAAAAUGAUCAGGCUGAAAAGAACAGUUAAGGAGCUUCUGGACAAUCCCAAGCCACUUUUUUGGCUCCUAGCCUGGAAAAACUCCUGACAGAAAGCUUGUCUGGUGCCCUUGGCAGAGACCCACAAGAUCUAGUAAAAUGCCAAAGAGAAGCAGAAUGACAUCAAGAGGGAACCACGCUGUGAGGUCAAAGGGCUACACCUGGCCAAAGGUGGGCCUCAUCCAAUCAGUUGAAAGCCUUAAUAGAAGAAGACUGAUCUCUUUCAGAAGAAGCAGGAAUUCUGUCUGCAGACAGCCUUUGGACCACAAGAUCAACUCUCCUCUAGCUCUCCAGCCUGAUGGCCUACCCUACUGAUUUUGGACUUGCCAGCUUUCACUAUCACAUGAAAUCAAUUCCCUAAAAUAAAUCUCUCUUAAAAUAAAUCUCUUAAAACAAGUCUCUCCUCUCUCUUUCUUUCUCUCUGUCUCUGUCUCUGUCUCUCUCUCUCUCUGUCUAUAUAUAAACAUAUGUCUAUAU
rnacentral:lncRNA from 1 species